AACGCACAAGGUAAAUUUUAUUCAUUAACAUUCAUCCUAUUUAAUGACAUUGAACUUUAAAAAUCAAAAUUCUUUGCAGGAACCCUUUUUUCUUCGGAAUUUAUCGUCCCGUCCUUCCUCGCCAAGGAUAAAUGGAUUGAUGUUCUUUUUUGUAUGCAGAACGCCGAAAAGCUAAAAAAAAAAAAAAAUCAGAAAAUCCUCAUCCGGGUGGAACAGCGAUCAAACGUAAUACAAGUUUGACAAAACCAAAACGGCCUAGGAAAAAUCCUCCGGAAAGGCUGCUCGCCGGGAGCUAAAAUAAUCGAGAAAUUAAAACGACAGCGACAAGGAAGAGGAGCAAACCGUUGAGGCCGCUGGAAGAAAGUUCGACUUCGAUUAUGAGAAAGAUUCGGGAUUGCCCGAAACGGCCCAGGAGAAUAUCUGGUAGUGUCGGAUGGUAGCAACGAAACCAAACUUUUGAAAGAAACCACACUGCAGCAAAUUUCGGAAUCACUGUCAUGGUCAUUGAACGACGGUCACGGCAAUCGAUGUACUUUCCAGGGAACGUGCUCCAAAACUGGACAUUAGUUGAAGAAACGCAGCUCGCUUGCAACUGUCUCCCGACAACGGAUAGCAUCGAGUGCGUUCGAUUGAUUAGCGAAGAGGACUUCCUUAUUUGUGGAACCGAUGGAUCUCUGUCGUUGUGGAGUUUCGAUAAAAAGAGGCCCCUGGACACGAUUCGAUUGGCUGGCCACAUCCGCCAGUAAAACCAGUCUAAAAUAAAAAAAACCGCCAUUCCGCAAAGUUCUGUCGGAGCAGAAUCGGAAAGCAAAGUUUUGCUAAGGCAUCUCAUUGUCGAUUUCCGGGAAGCCGAGCGGGACCAGAGGAACCAGAGUAAACAUGCAUGU